rnacentral:rRNA from 1 species
UACGAAGGGUGCAAACGUUGCUCGGAAUUACUGGGCGUAAAGCGCACGUAGGCGGCUUUGUAAGUUAGAGGUGAAAGCCCGGGGCUCAACUCCGGAAUUGCCUUUAAGACUGCAUCGCUAGAACGUCGGAGAGGUAAGUGGAAUUCCGAGUGUAGAGGUGAAAUUCGUAGAUAUUCGGAAGAACACCAGUGGCGAAGGCGACUUACUGGACGACCGUUGACGCUGAGGUGCGAAAGCGUGGGGAGCAAACAGG